rnacentral:rRNA from 1 species
UACGUAGGGGGCAAGCGUUGUCCGGAUUUACUGGGCGUAAAGGGCGCGUAGGCGGCAAUUCAAGUCAGUUGUGAAAUCUCCGAGCUUAACUCGGAACGGUCAACUGAUACUGUUUUGUUAGAGUGCAGAAAGGGCAACCGGAAUUCUUGGUGUAGCGGUGAAAUGCGUAGAUAUCAAGAGGAACACCUGAGGCGAAGGCGGGUUGCUAGGCUGACACUGACACUCAGGGACGAAAGCUAGGGGAGCGAAUGGG